AACAGUAACACAGCAUACAGUAAAUAAUUUGUAGCAUUAAACUCUUAUCAGGCAAAUUUUUAUUACUAAGGUUGCAAACAUACCUUCAAAAUCAGGCGGUAUAAUAUGAAGCACGAUACGACGAAAAAAAAUGUGUUAUGGAACAGGUAUUGCAGUAACUGAAUAUCACAAAGAUAUAUAUCACCACAUUAAUUCAUAUGCUCGUCACACGAACUUUUAUACACGAUUCGGUAAUCCUUGAUAUCACUAGGCUAUUGCUGUGGAUUAUAAUGUACCGUUCUAGACGUGUACCAAUGGUUAAUGGGCCAAUACAUUGCAACACAUCUGGGAGCCUGUAGAUUGGACAUAAUACUAUUAUUUGCGUGAGAAAACCUGAUGAGGAAGACAAAAUAAUUUUCUGUUGUGAAACAGGAAGCUGAUAGUAGCAGCAGUGAUGAUAAUAAUAAAGUGUAGAAAUCAGAUCCAGUUUGGCCUGUUUACUUGGGAAAUAACAGUAGAAAAGUAUACAAUUUUACAGUCAUGAGUUAAUACAGGCUUCAUGAUAUUAUACAUAUACUUACUGCUUCACCUAUAUCCUGAGAACAAGCAUUGGUUGAAUAUAAUAUAACCUGAAGUUUACUGGCAUCAGUUACAACUGAGUACUUAUGGAUGCAGACUAAAUGUCGCCUUUCUGGUUACCAUGGUUAUGGGACUAAGAGUGAUCUUGACAAUCAUGCUAAUCAGUUAAAUCCAAACAAUUGGCGCUACCAGG